AGGGUUUGAUCAUGGCUCAGGAUGAACGCUAGCGGCAGGCCUCAUACAUGCAAGUCGAGGGGCAGCAGGACACUUCGGUGUUGCUGGCGACCGGCGCACGGGUGCGUAACACGUAUGCAAUCUGCCUUGUACUGGAGCAUAGCCUUCGGAAACGAAGAUUAAUACUCCAUACAGUCUUACUAGCGCCUGUUAGUGAGAUGAAAGCUCCGGCGGUACAAGAUGAGCAUGCAUCCCAUUAGCUUGUUGGUGAGAUAACAGCUCACCAAGGCGACGAUGGGUAGGGAUGUUCUGAGAGAGGAACAUUUCCCUCCUACACUGGCAUUCGAUACUACGGGUCAGACUCCUACGGGUAGACAUGCACGUAGGGUAUAUUUGGUCAUUGGGCGACAAGCCUGAACUCAGCCCAUGUCGCGUGUAUGGAAUCCGAAGGCUCCUCCAGGGUUGUAAACUGGCUUUUGUCAUGGGAAUUAACAUAGUCCUUGCGAGGACUGUUGCAAGGUACUCAUUAGGAAAUAAGCCACCGGCUAACUCCGUCGCCAGCCAGCCGCGGCUAAUACGGAGGGUGCAAGCGUUAUCCGGCAUUUAGCUGGUGUUUAAAGAGUGCUGUAGGUCGGCUUCUUAAGUCCAAUGGUGAAAGCUUAGCGCUUGACGCUAGAAGUGCCCCUUGAUACUGGGAAGCUUGAGUCAAGGAUGAAGGUAAGCAAGAAUUCAUAGUGUAGCCAGUGAAAUGCUUAGAUACUAUGUGGAAUUCCCAUCAGCGAAGGCUGCUUACUGGUCUUGUAUUGACGCUGAGGCAGGAAGCGUGCGGGUAGCGUACUGGAUUAGAUACCCUAGGUAGUCCACGCCGUAAACGAUGAUCACUCGAUGUACACGCUAGUCGUGUGUGUCUAAGCAAAAGCAUUAAGUGAUCCACCUGGGGAGUACUCUUCGCAAGAGUGAAACUCAACGGGAUUUGACGGGAGUCCGCCCAAGCGGUGGGAGCAUGUGGUUUAAUUCGAUAAUACGCGAGGAACCUUACCUGGGCUUGAAUGUCUCUGCUACCUCGAGAAAUCGAGGGUUCUUUUGGGACAGAGUACACGGUUCUGCAUGGCUGUCGUCAGCUCGUGUCGUGAGCCGUCAUGUGGUAAGUCCUAUAAGGAGGCGCAACCCCUUUACUUAGUUGCCAGCCACAUUCAUGGGUGGGGACUCUAAGUAGACUUCCUGGCUUAGGUAGGAGGAAGGAGGGGAUGGAGGUCCAGAUUUCAUCUACAUGGCCCUUACGCCCAGGGCUACACACGUGCUACAAUGGCGUGUACAGAAGGACGCUACUUGGCAACAAGCGGCAAACCCUCAAAGCACGUCUCAGUUCGGAUUGAGGUCUGCAACUCGACCUCAUGAAGCUGGAAUCGCUAGUAAUCGCGCAUCAGCAAUGGCGCGGUGAAUACGUUCCCGGACCUUGUACACACCGCCCGUCAACCCAUGGAAGUUGGGAGGACCUGAAGACGAUUGCCGCGAGGCGUUGUUUAGGGUUAUACCAGUAACUAGGGAUAAGUCGUAACAAGGUAGCC
rnacentral:rRNA from 1 species